rnacentral:rRNA from 1 species
AGUGAACGCUGGCGGUAGGCCUAACACAUGCAAGUCGAACGGCAGCACAGUAAGAGCUUGCUCUUACGGGUGGCGAGUGGCGGACGGGUGAGGAAUACAUCGGAAUCUACUUUUUCGUGGGGGAUAACGUAGGGAAACUUACGCUAAUACCGCAUACGACCUACGGGUGAAAGCAGGGGAUCUUCGGACCUUGCGCGAUUGAAUGAGUCGAUGUCGGAUUAGCUAGUUGGCGGGGUAAAGGCCCACCAAGGCGACGAUCCGUAGCUGGUCUGAGAGGAUGAUCAGCCACACUGGAACUGAGACACGGUCCAGACUCCUACGGGAGGCAGCAGUGGGGAAUAUUGGACAAUGGGCGCAAGCCUGAUCCAGCCAUACCGCGUGGGUGAAGAAGGCCUUCGGGUUGUAAAGCCCUUUUGUUGGGAAAGAAAAGCAGCAGGUUAAUACCCCGCUGUUCUGACGGUACCCAAAGAAUAAGCACCGGCUAACUUCGU